AUACGGAAGGCAGCAGUAAGGAAUAUUGGUCAAUGGGCGGGAGCCUGAACCAGCCAUGCCGCGUGCAGGAAGACGGCCUUAUGGGUUGUAAACUGCUUUUAUCGGGGAAUAAAACUUUCUACGAGUAGAGAGCUGAAGGUACCCGAAGAAUAAGCAUCGGCUAACUCCGUGCCAGCAGCCGCGGUAAUACGGAGGAUGCAAGCGUUAUCCGGAUUCAUUGGGUUUAAAGGGUGCGCAGGCGGAUUGGUAAGUCAGUGGUGAAAUUCUAGUGCUUAACAUUAGACCUGCCAUUGAUACAGUCCGUCUAGAGUAUAGUUGGAGUGGGCGGAAUGUGUCAUGUAGCGGUGAAAUGCUUAGAUAUGACACAGAACACCGAUCGCGAAGGCAGCUCACUAAGCUAAAACUGACGCUCAUGCACGAAAGCGUGGGGAUCAAACAGGAUUAGAUACCCGUGUAGUCUG
rnacentral:rRNA from 1 species